GCUGUUCCUACAUUACACUUGCCAAAUAGUAAAGUAGCUUGCAGCUCAUCAACAAAUAAUUCUGAAUCAAAAAAUAAUAAUCUGUGUGCUCUUGAUCAAAAAACUGCCCGUGCUGAAAGAAGUGUUAAAAGAGCCAAAAGAACAUUAAUUAAUGAGCUAUUUCUAGCUGAUGAAGCAAAAACUGAAACGUAAGCAUGAUUUAUGUAUGAAUUUAAGUAAUGUAAUAUGAAAUUAAUAUAAUUUUAUUGUUAUAGUGCUGAAACAACACACAGAAAUAUUGAAAUAAAAAUGGAGGAGGAGAAUGAAUGUUUUGUUGAGAAGAAUGACACUGACACAGAAGAAUUAUCAGAAAGUGAAUUGAAGGAACAAAUAUCACAGUUAAAAAAGGAUGUUAAAUUUUGGCAAAAUGAAGCUAGAGUGAAGAAUAGGGAAUUGCAGAAGAUAAAGAAAAUGUAUAAAAAAAGCCUUUCUUCUUCCACCACGAGUAAGAGUACUAAGUGGCGGUCGUGCUGUAUUUAAGUGACCUUCGGUAAGAACCGAAUUUGAUCGUCAUCGGAGGAAAAAGCAUAAGCUAAACCCUCCAUAUAAAGAGUGAAGAAGAAGAAGAACCGAAUAUGAUAUUCCUGAUGCAAAGACGU
rnacentral:lncRNA from 1 species